UACGUAGGGCGCAAGCGUUGUCCGGAAUUAUUGGGCGUAAAGAGCUCGUAGGCGGCUUGUCACGUCGGGUGUGAAAGCCCGGGGCUUAACCCCGGGUCUGCAUUCGAUACGGGCUAGCUAGAGUGUGGUAGGGGAGAUCGGAAUUCCUGGUGUAGCGGUGAAAUGCGCAGAUAUCAGGAGGAACACCGGUGGCGAAGGCGGAUCUCUGGGCCAUUACUGACGCUGAGGAGCGAAAGCGUGGGGAGCGAACA
rnacentral:rRNA from 1 species